rnacentral:sRNA from 1 species
AGAUGUGAGGGCCAACUGGCUGCGGUAUCUGUCACCCUACUGAUUGCCAGCGUCGAUUCGGCUGAUCUGGCUGGCUGGGCGGGCGUCCCUUUCCUUCCUCACCCCUCCUUGUGUUUCCCUCCUAAAGCUGUGCACUUGGUUGAAGAGGACGACCACCCCCAUAGAAGAGGGCUGUUUCCUUGGCCAAGGGUAAAGAAGUAGCUGCAUUCCCCUGUUAGAACCUCCAAACAAGUCCCCAUCCAGAGGCGUCUCUUGCCUCUAGUUAACAUGCCUCUUUCGUCCUCUUUAAUCUAGGCUCAUUAUUUAG